rnacentral:rRNA from 1 species
UACGGGGGGGGCAAGCGUUGUUCGGAAUUAUUGGGCGUAAAGGGCGCGUAGGCGGUGCUGUAAGUCUGGUGUGAAACCUCCAGGCUCAACUUGGAGCUGGCAUCAGAAACUGCCGUGCUAGAGUGCGGGAGAGGAGAGUGGAAUUCCUGGUGUAGCGGUGAAAUGCGUAGAUAUCAGGGGGAACACCGGUGGCGAAAGCGGCUCUCUGGACCGCAACUGACGCUGAGGCGCGAAAGCCAGGGGAGCAAAC